rnacentral:RNase_P_RNA from 20 species
AUGAGUACGAAAGAUGGUCGCGAAUGCCGGAGGGCAUUCGAGGAAAGUCCGAGCUCCGCAGGGCAGGGUGCUGGAUAACGUCCAGCGAGGGCGACCUCAGGGAAAGUGCCACAGAAAUGUAGACCGCCGGGCGCUUUCGCGUUCGGUAAGGAUGGAACGGUGCGGUAAGAGCGCACCAGCAGCCAGGCGACUGGCUGGCUAGGUAAACCCCACCCGGAGCAAGACCGAAUAGGGAAGGAAUGAGGCGGCCCGCUGACCUUCCGGGUUGUGUCGCUUGAGCCGUCAGGCAACUGGCGGCCUAGAUAGAUGACCAUCACCGCGUGAGCGGAACAGAACUCGGCUUAUUGACUACUCAUAGCU